ACGAUCUGAAGAGGAAACGCAAAGUGGCGUUGCGUUCUAACUUGUUUUUCCGCAUUUAGACGAGCGUUUUGGGGGGGAAAUCUGCGUGCAUAUGGUGAAGCAAAAGUGUGUGCAAUUCGAUGUAGUAUGCACACCAGGCGGCCUGGUGGUAAUGUGAAGCAC